rnacentral:misc_RNA from 1 species
UUUUAUUAUAAUUAUGGUCCCACUCUUUCCAUGUGUUCUCCCUCCUCCUCCUCCUAUUCUGCUUCUUCUUUCCAACCACAUUUAACAUCUGGUGAUCAAUGCCUUCUCUUUGAAUCUAAUGGUGCUGGGAAAACGAUAAUACUGAACACUGCUUUGACGUCGUCUAAGGAUCUCUAUUAUCUUGGAAGAUAGUGGAUGCAAGAUGUUGCUUUUGCUGUGUUUUUCCAUACAAAUAUAUGUUUCUGCAUAGAAAAUGAUAUUUGGUGUAGCAG